ACUUACUGCACUCACUUUAUGACUCAAAGUUCGCGGUUAUUGGCACCUUUGUGCAGCAUACACAUGUGGAAGAUGCUGAUGAAGACCACAAAAACAAACCAUUUAAUGAAUGUGCGAAAGCCAGACAACCAUAAAAUAGAUGUCACUGCCAGAAAAGAAACUCCCCCCUCAAAAAAAAAAAUCCCACAGUCAUGCCAUGCAUCUUCACUCAUCUGGACUGAGAGGACAUAAACAUACAAGCGCAGCGUCAUGUCUCUGAUAGUGUCUCAGGGUGAGGGUUUGACAGUCAUCGCCAUCACCUCAAACCCAAAAAGCAAAUGGCCCGUAAUGUGUUAGAUUCUGAGUUUUCUGUGUAACAGUCCAGGGUGUUUUGCACCUCGGCAUAUGAAAGGGAAUCUGAAGGACGUCCACAUAGCACUUGGAAUUGUGCAGUUGAUAGUUGGUGUCAUCAAUAUUGUGUUCCUUGUAGCUGGAAUCAUGUGUAUUCUUGGAACGAGAAUUACCUGUUCUUGUCGGGUGGUGGAGGAUCCAGAACUUCACAAGCCGCUCCUGGAAGGCGACACUGCCAAUCCUGUGUGACAAGAUUAAAGGACAAAAUAAUCAAAGUCAUUCUUUUUGCUUGUAAUGGAAUGGCAUUUUCUCUCAAUAUUGUAGUGAAAUGAUUUAAAGCAGAUCUCCAUCCGCAACAUUGUUAAAUUACGUUUAGGAACAACACUUAUUGUUUCCUUUUACAAAAGUGGUGUUACCAUUGAUCUCUCUAUAUAUAGAUCAGUGGGUGUUACCUUUUAUUAUCUUUUUCAGUUUUGUUGGGAUCUUUGGGGCUGCUUUUUUUAAAAAUAAAUGACUGUAGCACUUUUGCAUCGA